GACGAACGCUGGCGGCGUGCCUAACACAUGCAAGUCGAACGAAGUCGCGAACGGGUGAGUAACGCGUAAACAACCUGCCAUUCAGAGGGGGACAACAGUUGGACACGACUGCUAAUACCGCAUACUGAAGGAGGGGAUUGAGUGUGAUUGGCUAGUGGGAGGGGUAACGGCCCGCCAAGGCGAUGAUCAGUAGCCUGUCUUGUAGGCUGCACGGCCACAUUGGGACUGAGACACGGCCCAGACUCCUACGGGAGGCAGCAGUGGGGAAUCUUCCGCAAUGGACGGAAGUCUGACCGAGCAACGCCGCGUGAGUGAUGACGGCCUUCGGGUUGUAAAGCUCUGUUAAUCGGGACGCGGUACCGGAAUAGAAAGCCACGGCUAACUACGUGCCAGCAGCCGCGGUAAUAC
rnacentral:rRNA from 1 species